AUUAUUCAGAGUAAGUUUUGAUGG
rnacentral:siRNA from 1 species